rnacentral:rRNA from 1 species
GCCUACGGCCAUACCACCCUGAGAACGCCCGAUCUUGUCUGAUUUCGGAAGCUAAGCAGGGUCGGGCCUGAUUAGUACUCGGAUGGGAGACCGCCUGGGAAUACCAGGUGCUGUAAGCU